AAUGAACGCUGGCGGCGUGCUUUACACAUGCAAGUCGAGCGAGGCGCGGGGGCAACUCCGCAGUCGAGCGGCGAACGGGUGAGUAACGCGUGGAUAACCUGCCCUGAGGUGUGGAACAACCAGGGGAAACUCUGGCUAAUACCGCAUGAUACCGAGAGGUCAAAGGGGGCUCGCAAGGGCUCUCGCCACAGGAGGGGUCCGCGUCCGAUUAGCUAGUUGGUAGGGUAAGGCCUACCAAGGCGACGAUCGGUAGCCGGCCUGAGAGGGUGAUCGGCCACACUGGAACUGAGACACGGUCCAGACUCCUACGGGAGGCAGCAGUGGGGAAUUUUGCGCAAUGGGCUAACGCCUGACGCAGCAACGCCGCGUGGAGGAUGAAGGUCUUUGGAUUGUAAACUCCUGUCAGCGGGGAAAAGCGACCCGACCUCAUACGUCGGGAAGUUGAUUGUACCCGCAGAGGAAGCCCCGGCUAACUCUGUGCCAGCCGCCGCCGUAA
rnacentral:rRNA from 1 species